AAUGUUAGCUAUGGUUAGCUAAGGAGUAACGUUAAAGUUAGCACAUAUAAUAGAGUAAUUUGUGUUCUCGAGAUAAGUUUUUUUUUCAGAGACAUUUUUAUGAACGUUUUUGGUUAUAGAAACGUGUUUCCGAUCCAGAGAGAUGAUUAUUACACCUGUAGGUAAAGUUACACUGCAAAAAAAUGACAUUCUUGCUAAGUGACAACAAAUCUCACCCCAUUGGCAGAUUUUUUUGCCUGUUUUUACCAUAAACGUACUUAAUUCUUAUAUAAUUUUACAUAAAACAAGACUAAGGCCCGGUUUCAUUAUGCUUUAGUUAAAUUAGGCUAUUUAAUUUGCUUUUAUUAAAAUGCAAUAGAAAAAAACAUUACUAAUGUGCAUCUUAAAACAAAACAAUGGCACUGAUAUAUUUAAAAAAAUUUAGUUAAGACCGCUCAAAAUUCAUUUUAGUCUGGGACUAGUCUUAAACCUUGUCUGUGAAACCGGGCCUAAAUACCUUAGGUCACUUUUCCUUAGGUCAGUAAUUGUUUAUCGAUUUAAGAAGUUUUAGAUAUUUUUAAUAAAAACAAGACAAAACUGCUGCUUAGUAAGAAUGGCACUUUUUGCAGUGUAGGUAAAAAUGAUCUAAUGUUUUCCCUAUACAUUUUGUUUUAAUUUCAUAGCAAUACUCUAACGUUAUAUCUUAAUUUUCUUGUUGAUGUUUUGUAUGUCUAUCUGUGGAACUUGUGCUUUGUAUGUGUAAAUGUUAAUACAAACAAUUUAUUUUUAAUAUUUUUUUUUCAGGUUCUGGGGAUCUAAUGCUUGUGAUAAUCUACAGCAGAUGACCAUGACAAUCCAGGUUCUGUGGAUCGACUGCUUGUGCUAAUCUACCGCAGGUGACCAUAACAAUCCAGCAGAUAACUUCAGGAUUUAUAGAAGGCAUAUAAUGACAGUGAGCGGGACCAAAACUCUGACAAUCCAAGUCACCUAUUGGUAGCAUAAGUAAUCUAUAUGACUCAAGUUGCACAAAUAAUGUCUAGAUGUGUAACGAAUACCUUGCAUGUACAGAGCUAUGUUCUGAAUCUGAUGUACUCCGCUUGUAUUCCCACUGUCAAAUGAACAUUUAAAAAAAUAUAUAUUUUUGCAUUUCCCCAGAAUGUCUUUUUCUGUUU